rnacentral:lncRNA from 1 species
UUUACUAAACUUGGUGCAUUGCUAGGAAUAAAAAAAGACAAAGAAUCUAAAUUUAAAAAUCAAUAGCUAUAGCGCUUCCAAGUUAUAACCAUGCAGAACUUGCCUUGCUUGACGAGUGUUUGAAUUUCAAACUGAUGAAUUAGGUUGCAAGAACAUGAGCUCAUAAAAAUCAUCCUUUUCCUGCUCUCAUCUCAUACUACCAUAUAAUCAACAUUUCAUCUUCCUUUUUUUCCUCUAUCAUUUCAGUACUUUGGAGACAAGAAGCAAAAGUGUUUGUGUUAAUUUUUUUUUCACUGUUCCAGCAGAGAAACUCAGGACAUGAAUCAUAGAGCUAACAGCCCCGGAAAAGAGAGAGGCUGGCACAAAUAGAAAUUACAUUUGGUUUUAUAAUUAACAACAUAGGGAGCACUUUAGGACACAAUUAUUUCCCAAGUGUCAUUGAUUGUUAUCUCUCUGCUGCCAUUUUCCCAUACUUAAGUCCUCACAGUAUUAUCGUUAUCUGAGUCUGUAUACAGUUUCUCUCUUUGGCACACACUGUGUUCUUUUCACCACUGAUAUUUCUGAUGUUUCAAACACUAAGUGACUUUUCUUCAGGCUGCUAGGAGAUAACAGAAUUCAUCUGUAGCCCUUGGCCAUUCACACCUUCAGACUUCACUCAUUCUUCUCUCACCAUCUCUCUGUGACUAGGGACUGUCCCCUCUUCUGUGAGUUUUUAAAGAGUCUGAGAAUGGAGAAAAAGGACUCCGAAGCUUAUAAGUGCCCUUUCCUCUACAACCACUGAUGAAUGAGAAAUCUUGGAAAAGAAGCAAACUGGAAGUCAGGAGGGACAUGUCAAGGGAGUUGUGUAUUCCAUUUUUAAAAAUAAAGAAUCUACAAUUCAAAGAUUGUGCCAAAUCAGAGAAGAAAAGGAAAAUUGUUGCUUGGAGAGAGUGUGGAGAGGGAAAGAAUACAGGAAAAGAAGAAGAUGACAGAAAAGGAUGAGAUGAGAAAUACGGAGAAAUGUUAGAUUGCAUUAAUUUAAUAAAGGGCUUGAAAUAAUUGGAACA